GAUGAAGAACGUAGCGAAAUGCGAUAAGUAAUGUGAAUUGCAGAAUUCAGUGAAUCAUCGAAUCUUUGAACGCACAUUGCGCCCGUCAGUAUUCUGGCGGGCAUGCCUGUUCGAGCGUCAUUACGCCCCUCAAGUCCCCUGUGGACUUGGUGUUGGGGAUCGGCGAGGCUGGUUUUCCAGCACAGCCGUCCCUUAAAUUAAUUGGCGGUCUCGCCGUGGCCCUCCUCUGCGCAGUAGUAAAACACUCGCAACAGGAGCCCAGCGCGGUCCACUGCCGUAAAACCCCCCAACUUUUUAUAGUUGACCUCGAAUCAGGUAGGACUACCCGCUGAACUUAAGCAUAUCAAUAAGCGGAGGA
rnacentral:misc_RNA from 1 species